rnacentral:tRNA from 1 species
GCGGGCGUAGCUCAAUGGUAGAGCCCCAGCCUUCCAAGCUGGCCAUGUGAGUUCGAUUCUCAUCGCCCGCUCCA